GUUAAAGUAAUUUAGUAAAAUACUACGGUUUGGUUGUAGAGAUAGGCUGUCUCUUUAGGG
rnacentral:tRNA from 1 species